GGGGUUGUGGCUCAGUAGUAGAGGGCUUGCCUCCCAGGCAUGGGGCACUGGGUUCAAUCCUCAGCAACACAU
rnacentral:tRNA from 1 species